AGGAUGAACGCUAGCGGCAGGCCUAACACAUGCAAGUCGAGGGGUAACAUAGAGGAGCUUGCUUUUCUGAUGACGACCGGCGCACGGGUGCGUAACGCGUAUGCAACCUACCUCUUACUGGAGGAUAGCCCGAAGAAAUUCGGAUUAAUACUCCAUAGUAUUUGAUUUUCGCAUGAUUAUCAAAUUAAAGAUUACGGUAAGAGAUGGGCAUGCGUCCUAUUAGCUUGAUGGUAAGGUAACGGCUUACCAUGGCAACGAUAGGUAGGGGGCCUGAGAGGGUGAUCCCCCACACUGGUACUGAGACACGGACCAGACUCCUACGGGAGGCAGCAGUGAGGAAUAUUGGGCAAUGGAGGCAACUCUGACCCAGCCAUGCCGCGUGCAGGAAGACGGUCCUAUGGAUUGUAAACUGCUUUUAUUUGUGAAUAAACUCUCGGACGUGUCCGAGCCUGAAUGUAGCAAAUGAAUAAGCACCGGCUAACUCCGUGCCAGCAGCCGCGGUAAUACGGAGGGUGCAAGCGUUAUCCGGAAUCAUUGGGUUUAAAGGGUCCGCAGGCGGACGUAUAAGUCAGUGGUGAAAUCUCUCGGCUUAACCGAGAAACUGCCAUUGAUACUGUACGUCUUGAAUUCGGUCGAAGUGGGCGGAAUAUGUCAUGUAGCGGUGAAAUGCUUAGAUAUGACAUAGAACACCGAUAGCGAAGGCAGCUCACUAGGCCUGGAUUGACGCUCAGGGACGAAAGCGUGGGUAGCGAACAGGAUUAGAUACCCUGGUAGUCCACGCCGUAAACUAUCAAUACUCGUUUUCAGCGAUAUACAGUUGGAGACUAAGCGAAAGUGAUAAGUAUUGCACCUGGGGAGUACGAUCGCAAGGUUG
rnacentral:rRNA from 1 species